rnacentral:rRNA from 1 species
UGGGGAAUAUUGCACAAUGGGCGCAAGCCUGAUGCAGCCAUGCCGCGUGUAUGAAGAAGGCCUUCGGGUUGUAAAGUACUUUCAGCGGGGAGGAAGGUGUUGAGGCUAAUAACCUCAGCAAUUGACGUUACCCGCAGAAGAAGCACCGGCUAACUCCGUGCCAGCAGCCGCGGUAAUACGGAGGGUGCAAGCGUUAAUCGGAAUUACUGGGCGUAAAGCGCACGCAGGCGGUCUGUCAAGUCGGAUGUGAAAUCCCCGGGCUCAACCUGGGAACUGCAUUCGAAACUGGCAGGCUAGAGUCUUGUAGAGGGGGGUAGAAUUCCAGGUGUAGCGAUGAAAUGCGUAGAGAUCUGGAGGAAUACCGGUGGCGAAGGCGGCCCCCUGGACAAAGACUGACGCUCAGGUGCGAAAGCGUGGGGAGCAAACA